UACGUAGGGGGCGAGCGUUGUCCGGAUUUACUGGGCGUAAAGCGCGUGUAGGCGGCUGUCUAAGUUGGGUGUGAAAGCCCGGGGCUCAACCCCGGGACGCCGCCCAAGACUGGACGGCUUGAGGACGGAAGAGGGGCGUGGAAUUCCAGGUGUAGCGGUGAAAUGCGUAGAGAUCUGGAGGAACACCCGUGGCGAAGGCGGCGCCCUGGUCCGUUACUGACGCUGAGACGCGAAAGCGCGGGGAGCGAACGGG
rnacentral:rRNA from 1 species